rnacentral:lncRNA from 1 species
UUGCUGCCCUGGGCUCCGGGAGGAAGUGGGGCAGGAAGCAGGGGCGGUGGUGGCUGCUCUGCAGUCAGCCUCUGUGGGCGGCCUCUGCCUGCCCCGGCCAGCUGCAGACAGCCCCGUGGACAGCCAGCACCAAGCAGAGUUGGGACAGGCCACCUGCGCCCUGGGCCUGGUGGGCCUGAGAGGUGUCUCGGGAGCAGAGCUCAGGCCAACUGGGCAUGCCGAGCCCUCAGCACUGGGGCCGGGGCGGGUCAUGAAGAGCCCCAAGGAGGAGACCACUGGGGAGCCAGCGGAGAUGGGCUGGGGGCCUGCAAGACCCUCUGGAGGCCACAGCAGCAGGCACGAGGUCCAGAGUGGGGCCAUGCACUCACCCUGUGGCCCGGAGCAGGCUGUGCCUGAGGAGGCCAAGGCGCCAGUCCGAGGUGACCUGGCUCUGCAGCUGCUGGCGGUGCGCAGGAAGAGUGGACAGCCAGACCCCGGCCUGCAGCAGGCCCUGCGGGGCCGGCUGCGCCUGAUGGAGAACGAGAGCCAGGAGGUGGCCCGCGUGCUGGGGGUGAGUCAGCCCUGGAGCCUGGGGGCAGGGGAAGGGGCUCCCUCGAGUAAAGAGAACAGGCACAGAGGGGGGCGUCACGGAAUGAGGACAGUCCAGGAGACAGGGCUGGGAUGGGGGCAGCACGGACUUGGGGUCAGACUGCCCUGACGGUGGC